AGAACACUGAGUUCCCAGACUGUCCCCUGUCAACCCACAGCACAGAAAGUGACACUUAAGGACAGAGUUGGCAUCUGUGUCUAUCUGAGUGUUCAUGUUCCCAGGACGGAGGAGGGGGUGUCGGUGACGUCAGUCUCGCUGUCUGGCCCCUGCUGCCCGCUCACCCUCAGAGAAGCACCUGGAGCAGCGGGAACACAGAGUUCCUCACGGAGCCUUCACAUACCUCCUGACUCUGCAGCUGAGGUGGCCUCUCAGCAACGGCCACUGCCCACUGCCCAGCACUCACUAUCUGCACAGCACGUCUGGAAGCCCUCCCAGCCCGAGGUUCUGCCGACGUUCUGAAGCCAGGAAGACUUCUGCCGCUUCCAAGGAGGGAGCAGCCAGGGACCAGCCCAAGCCCGAGUGGAGAAGCCAUUCCAGGGCCUGGUCAGCUCUCCCCACCUCAGAGAAGCCAUGGGAGCCUGCCCCAUCCAGGGCUUCCUGCUCCUCUCUCUGCUGGGCUUCCCG
rnacentral:lncRNA from 1 species